rnacentral:rRNA from 1 species
GGAUAAUGCCUGAUAGGGAACAAAGUGUGGAAUCCUUUUGUUCCAGAAAGCUCCGGCGCUUCACGAUCGGUCGGCGGCCCAUCAGGUAGUUGGUGAGGUAAUGGCUCACCAAGCCUAAGACGGGUAGGGGCCAUGAGAGUGGUUGCCCCGAGAAGGACACUGAGAUACUGGUCCUAGCCCUAAGGGGUGCAGCAGUCGCGAAAACUUCACAAUGCACGGAAGUGUGAUGAGGGGAUUCUGAGUGCUUACGGUUUAUCCGUAGGCUUUUCGUUAGGGCAAAUACCUAGCGGAAUAAGUGGUGGGCAAGACUGGUGCCAGCCGCCGCGGUAACCCCAGCGCCACAAGUGGGAACCACGCUUAUUGGGUUUAAAGCAUCCGUAGCCGGUUUGGCAAAUGCCCUGUGAAAUCGUUCCGCUCAACGGAACGGCGUGCAGGGUAGACUACCAAACUAGGGACCAGGGGAAGUAGGCGGUAUUCCUGAGGGAGCGGUAAAAUGUGAUAAUCUUCAGGAGGACCACCCGAUGGCGAAAGGCAGUCUACUAAAAAUGGAUCCCGACGGGUGAAGGGAUGAAAAGCUAAGGGGAACCGAUCCCGGAUUAAGAUACCCCGAAGUAGUCCCUAAGCCGUAAACCGCUUGCAUGGCCAGAAUGUUUACACCAAUCCUUUCGAAAAUUGGUGUAAGUGGUCCGUAACCGAAAGGUGUUUAAAGCAUGGCCACCCUGGGGAAAGUAACGGGUCCGCAAAGGGCUUGAAAACUUUAAAAGGAAAUUUGGCCGGGGGGGAACCCC